GACGAACCGUGCGAACGUUGUUCGGAAUCACUGGGCUUAAAGGGCGCGUAGGCGGCUGCGCAAGUCCGGGGUGAAAGCCUCCAGCUCAACUGGAGAAGUGCCUUGGAAACUGUGCAGCUCGAGCGAGGUAGGGGUGAUGGGAACUUCCGGUGGAGCGGUGAAAUGCGUUGAUAUCGGAAGGAACGCCGGUGGCGAAAGCGCAUCACUGGGGUAACACUGACGCUCAUGCACGAAAGCGUGGGGAGCAAACAGG
rnacentral:rRNA from 1 species